rnacentral:rRNA from 1 species
GACGAACGCUGGCGGCGUGCUUAACACAUGCAAGUCGAACGGAAAGGCCCUGCUUGCAGGGUACUCGAGUGGCGAACGGGUGAGUAACACGUGGGUGAUCUGCCCUGCACUUCGGGAUAAGCCUGGGAAACUGGGUCUAAUACCGGAUAGGAGCCAUUUUUAGUGUGAUGGUUGGAAAGUUUUUUCGGUGUAGGAUGAGCUCGCGGCCUAUCAGCUUGUUGGUGGGGUAAUGGCCUACCAAGGCGGCGACGGGUAGCCGGCCUGAGAGGGUGGACGGCCACAUUGGGACUGAGAUACGGCCCAGACUUCUACGGGAGGCAGCAGUGGGGAAUAUUGCACAAUGGGCGCAAGCCUGAUGCAGCGACGCCGCGUGGGGGAUGACGGCCUUCGGGUUGUAAACUCCUUUCGCUAGGGACGAAGCUUUUUGUGACGGUACCUAGAUAAGAAGCACCGGCUAACUACGUG